CACCGUCUGUCCGUAUGGCCCCUGCGCGUAUGGCCCUUGUCCGUACGCCGGAUCUCCGUAUCUUGGCUGAGGCUGCCCAUAUGCCGGCUGUCUGUAGGGGUCUUGGCCGUAGGGUGGUGCAUUGGAGUAGUAAGGAUCAGGUGGGGGUGCGCCGUAUGGAGUGGCGUAAGCCGGGGAAGCCGCGUAGCCUGCGCCUCUGGUUCCCGCUGGCGGGGGCACGCCGUAAGGGGGUGAGUAGGCAGACCCAGGCGCACGGUAGCGCGGAUCUCUCACAGAGACCUUGACUUCCACCUUGCCAUGAGGGCGGCCAGAGGGGCGGCGGAGCUCGAGAGUGCGGAUGGCCUGGGCGCCGAAGCCGACGUCAUCGACGACGUCGCGGAGGAAGAGGCGAGCGGAGCCGACGACCGGCUUGGUGUCGUCUUCGUCAUCGGCUUUGAGAUGGACAACGUCGAGGUAGAGUGUGGAGUCUUCGAUCCGGGAGGGCACUGGAAUGAGUAGAGUCUCGUUCCAGCAAGGAAAGGUGUCGCCGUCGUUGUCGACUUUGGUGGAGAGCUUGGCCGCAGGAUCCACCCAAACCACGACGUAUGGCUUCAGAGAGCCGUGACGCCAGUUGACGUUCUUCAGAUCUUUGGCGGAGGAGAUAAUCAGCUCUAUCUCGUAGCGACCAGCCAUGGAAGGGGCAAUAAGGGAAAAAUAAUGGAGAAAAUGGUCGGACUGUCGAAUGGUUGCUAGUCGUGGGUCAAGUAUUUAUAGGCUUUAAUGUCCGCUUGUCCUUCGAAAAUCUUGUCCCUUUUACCGUUAUACCCUCCUACCCAUGUUUGAAAAAAAAAAAAAAAACAAAUAAGAAACAACUUCUCUGUAAGUCAAAAGACAACAUUUUUCUAAUUUUAAAAUUAAACUAUUUUUGAACGUUCGGUGAGAGGGUAUUUUGGUAAAAAAAUAUGACAGAGGAGCUCAACUGGGGAAGGGCAUAAUAGGGAAAAGACUAACUAGGGAAAGGGUUUGGGCCCCACGGAUUGCUUUCUCACUAAGCAUCGAGAUUGUCCUGAUGCUCUGUCUUUAUGCGCACUCGAUGGUUGCGGAAUUCUAUUGGUGUAACCGGAUAAUGCCGGUGUCAGAUGUCAAUUGAGAGGAGAUCGGCGUUGUCCACACGAGGAAUAUUCUCGCAUGACAGAGAAAGGUCUCGUAACGAGAUUGGUCCUACGCGGAAUAGACACGGCGUCACUUGGGCCGGACCUUGUCAAUUUUGUAUCUUUUAGGCCCAAAAAGUGGGCCACCAAGGCAGCCCAUGGGCUUGUUGCAAGCCCACUAUUGCCAUCUUUCAUCUACUUCACCAGGAAAAGUUCUUGAUUUCUCUUCCAAGGUGGAACCGUUGAACGUCCAUGAUUAUUUGUCAUGAUUAUAAAGCAAUAAAAAUUUUAAUUUAUUUACUUAUGAUGUUUUUAUUCAAUUUAUAUGAUCAUAAUGUUAUUAAGUCACUUCUUUUGUUAUAUGUUUCUUAAAAUCAUUUGAAAAUUCAAUUUCUAAAGUCUUAAAAAUAAAAUCACUAGUCUAUGGUCCAUGACUACUAAGUUUUUGCAUUUUGUAUAAAAAUUAUUGUCAAUUUUCUAUUUUAAAAACAAAAAGGCAUAAUCAAUUAGAUGAUAUCAUGUAUGUGCCUUCGAAUUUUAUUCAUUUAUACUUGAAUUUGGUUCGUUCUAUAUUCUUGAAUUUAGAAGUCCCAAAAGAUUCUUCCAAUAUAUCAUUUUCGGUCCAAUGGAAGAAUUUUAUUUUUUAUUUGUUCACUUUUAAAAAAUCGCAUUCCAUUCUUACUUGCAAUAGAAACCCAAAAGAUUCUUCCAAUAUAUCAUUUCUGGGUCUAAUGGAAGAAUUUUAUUUUUUAUUUGUUCACUUUUAAAAAAUCGUAUUUCAUUCUUACUUGCCAUAGAAAAUAUGGGAAAUUGGUUAUGGCCUCAACACGCUAUAUCUCCCCUAAAAAUUUAGUUAUUGUUUGGAUAUAUUUCUUGUAUUUUAUAUGUAGAAAUACAUUUUAUAUAAAAAGUAUGAACUUACCUUAUAUCCUUAAAAAAUAUUUUACAAUUAAACUUUGAAAACUAAGAAAGAUCAAAGGGAAACUAUUUUCUCAUGUUAAAAUAAAAAUAAAAUAACUCCGUUAAUUUGAAGAUGGUUCAUGAUCCUUGACAAUGACACCAUUUUCUUGAUUGAUACUUUUGGUUUUAAUAGAAAUUUCUUUAUUUUCAUAGAAAUUUUGGUCAAUAACAACUAAAAAGAAGAUAAGAAUAGUGUGUAAUAUUCAAAUAUCUUCCUUUGACAUCGGCAUAAUUGACUUUUUAUUCAAUUUAUAUGAUUAUAAUGUUAUUAAGUCACUUCUUUUGUUAUAUGUUUCUUAAAAUUAUUUGAAAAUUCAAUUUCUAAAGUCUUAAAAAUAAAAUCACUAGUCUAUGGUCUAUGACUACUAAGUUUUUGCAUUUCGUAUAAAAAUUAUUAUCAAUUUUCUAUUUUAAAAACAAAAAGACACCAUCAAUCAAAUGAUGUCAUGUAUGCGCCUUCGAAUUUUAAUCAUUUAUACUUGAAUUUGAUUUGUUUUAUAUUCUUGAAGUUGGAAGACCCAAAAGAUUCUUCCAAUAUAUCAUUUCCGGGUCUAAUGGUAGAAUUUUAUUUUUUAUUUGUUCAUUUUUAAAAAAUCAUAUUCCAUUCUUACUUGCCAUAGAAAAUAUGGGAAAUUGGUUACCGCCUCAACACGCUACAUCUCCCCUAAAAAUUUAGUUAUUGUUUGGAUAUAUUUCUUGUAUUUUACACGUAGAAAUAACUUUUAUAAUAACUUUGAUAUAAAAAGUAUGAAUAUACCGUAUAUCCUUAAAAAAUAUUUUGUAAUUAAACUUUGAAAACUAAGAAAGAUCAAAGGAAAACUAAUUUCUCAUGUUAAAAUAAAAACAAAAUAACUCUGUUAAUUUGAAGAUAUUUCAUGAUUCUUGACGAUGACACCAUUUUCUUGAUUGAUACUUUUGGUUUUAAUAGAAAUUUCUUUAUUUUCAUAGAAAUUUUGGUCAAUAACAACUAAAGAGAAUAUAAGAAUAGUGUGUAAUAUUCAAAUAUCUUCCUCUAACAUCGGCAUAAUUGACUUUUUAUAGAUUGACUAAAGUUAGCUUUAAAUCCGAUGAAACCUAAAUGUGUCCAUACAUCCAAAUUAUUUAUUCAUCUUAUAAAUUUAGGUUUAGACUUAAUUAGAAUAGAUCAAAUCAAGUUAACUAAUGAUUAAGUGGUGUCUAGAUAUUGGUAGUAUAUUCACAAACAUCUAUUUUAUUUCACCUAAUCCAGACUACACCAAGGAUCUCAUUAAUUAUCUCAAAAUAAACAUCAAAACCCUAAUCUUCCAAUCUAGUCUUAUUGUACUCAUUGCUUCUUCUUGUCCCAAUCCUCCACCAUCAUGCUACACCACCAUAAGAAAGGUUCAUAGCCUCUAAUGGCUAAGUUUUAACACAAUUUUCAUAAGAGAGUAAGAAAUCGACGAUAUUAUUGAAAAGAAAGCAAAAAGUCUCCAAUAUAUGACCGUGAAAAUCCAAAUGUAAAACUACCUUCUCCUUUUAAUUUAAUGAUGAAAUAUAUAUAUAAUCUAACCCUAAAAAGACAUGUGACCUCAAGGAUGAAAAUAUUGGUUUUUAUAGAUAUAUCGACAACUCAAUUUUAUAGAGAUAUAAGAAAAUAUCGAUGAAUAUUUUGACUCAAAAUAUCAAUAGGACAAAAAUCGAUGAAAACUAGUAAACAUGUUGAAAAAAACUCUAAAAAUGAUAUAAUAAACAAUAAUAAAUAUUUUAAAGUUUUUUUAUCAAAGAAAAUGAUAUUAUACAAUAUAAUUUAUCAUAUUUGAUAAUAAUAUCGUAUAUGUCGAUAACAAAUAUGAAUUUUAUAAGUGUACAUUUAUCAUUAAAUUACAUCAAAUAUUAUUCAAUAAUAAUAUUAUAAUAUUUUAUUAUAAUAUGUUUAAUUUUAAAUAUUUAAUAUUAAAUUUAUGAUUCAUUUAAUUCAAUUGUAUUAAAUAAUAUAAAAUAAAUGAUGAUAUAUAUAUAUAUAUAUAUAUAUAUAUAUAUAUAUAUAUAUAUAUAAUUUUUUAAUAUUUAAUUAAUAUAUUAAUGAUAAUUUUUAUAUUUUUGGUAAUUAAUCAAAUGAAAAAUUUUCAUUUAAUUAUAAUUAAUUUGUUCUUUAAAAUAUUCCUUUAAUGUUUUGUUUAUAUGAUAACUUUAUAUAUAUAUAUAUAUAUACUUGGUGCACUAUGUUUAAAAAAGACAUAUAUAUCAUAUGAUUCAAAAAGGUUAAUAGACGAAGCUAUCUCUUUCUCUAAAUUUAUAGAAAUCCUUUCCAAUCAAUCUGAAUUUGAGAUUAGUUUUAUUUUUUUCCCAAUUUAAUUUAAUGAUUUUCUUGGUGUUAAUUCCAGGCAAAUGCUGUGAGGGCAUAUCGUCCUCAGUGGACGUGCAGGAAAAAGGACAUAUACCCACAGUUCUAUGAGGACGCCAAGGUGUACUGCAAUGGUGAACUGGUGAUGACCACUGGUGGGACUCAGAAGGAGUAUGUGGUCGAUGUCUGGUCUGGAAACCACCCCUUCUACCUCGGGAACCGCUCCGCUCUUCUAGUGGACGCUGAUCAAGUCGAGAAGUUCCGGAAGAAGUUUGGGGAAAUAUCACAGAUUAUGGAAAUUCCUGUCCUCAAAUAUGGAGAAAUCGUGCUACCACCUAAACGCAAAUCUGGUUCUGGUAAAGGGGGAAAGAAGAAGUAGUUGCCCAAUUUCACGGUAAAAAGAAAUAGCCUCUGUUUGGUUGCAAGGAAAAAAAUUGGAAGCAAGUUAUGAAUCUUAUCUGUUUAUUUUCUUACUUUUCUCAGCUUCCAAAUAGGGCAAUUAGGGUUUUGGUUUUCUGUUUAUUGGACAGUGUAAUUUGAUUACUUGUUAUAAAUUUUUUAAAGUAAUCCCUAUUUCGUGUUCAGUGGUAUGUCUUAAUUUUUUUUCUUUUUGAUUAUUAUUAAUUUUAAUUGUAUAUUUUAUUAAAUACUUUAAAAUGUCCUAUAGUCCAAAAGAAUAGUUUUGUCUAGAACCAUGUUCACUGAUUGUGAUGCACUAAGUAAAUAUCAGUCAGCUUACUCUGGGAAACCCCAUUGAGAUUCUGCAGUUCCCAGAACAACAAUAAUAUAAGUAAAUAUCGUUCUAUAUUCUUGAACUUAGAAGACCCAAAAGAUUCUUCCAAUAUAUCAUUUCCGGGUCCAGUGGAAGAAUUUUAUUUUUUAUUUGUUCACUUUAAAAAAAUCGCAUUCCAUUCUUGCAAUAGAAACCCAAAAGAUUCUUCCAAUAUAUCAUUUCCGGGUCCAAUGGAAGAAUUUUAUUUUUUAUUUGUUCACUUUUAAAAAAUCGUAUUCCAUUCUUACUUGCCAUAAAAAAUAUGGGAAAUUGGUUAUGGCCUCAACACGCUAUAUCUCCUCUAAAAAUUUAGUUAUUGUUUGGAUAUAUUUCUUGUAUUUUAUAUGUAGAAAUACAUUUUAUAUAAAAAAUAUGAACUUACCUUAUAUCCUUAAAAAAUAUUUUACAAUUAAACUUUGAAAACUAAGAAAGAUCAAAGGGAAACUAUUUUCUCAUGUUAAAAUAAAAAUAAAAUAACUCUGUUAAUUUGAAGAUGGUUCAUGAUCCUUGACAAUGACACCAUUUUCUUGAUUGAUACUUGUAGACCCCCUUGUUGGCAGGGAGAGGGAGGGGGAAAAUAUUAUUUUUUUUAGGAGAGUGGGUGAGAUUGGAAGUGAUGGAGAGGACGGGAAGUAGCGGGAGAUUUGAGGGGGAAGAAAUCUGGAAAAAGAGAAAAGGAAAGGGGGGAAGAUUUUUUUUGAGGGUUUUUGAGGCUGGCGAUUAAGGAUUGGAGGUUUUGGAAAAGAAGAGAUUUUUUCAGAGGAAGAGAGUAGAGGUCCGGAUUUUUAGAAAGAAAAAAACCAAAGCUGAAAGGGGAGAGGGUGAUAUCUGGAGAGGAGAAAAACAAAGAAAAUGGAGAUAGAGACAGUCUGAAGGAGACGGAAAAAAAGCUGUGCUUGGGAGGAGCCUUUCAGGUAAGAUUUUUUUUGUAAACUUCACAUCUCUUUUUCUCUCUUAGGUACAGUCUUCGAUCUUCAUGCUCACUGUGGGGAUGAGGAAUUCGUUGUUUUUUUGUAGAGAGAGAAAAGAAUUGGGCGGCUGGGGGAUUAUAAGACAGUGGGAUGCUUUUUAAAAGUUUUUAAUUCAAAUUGUUUUUUUCUAGCAAGGCAUUUGGGUUCGUGCCUAUUUUUUUACUUUGAGUAAAGCUCUCAAAGCCAUUUAUAUAUAUUUUUUUAUUAUUCCUUUCUUGCAUGGAAAUCAUAACAUGGCAGAAGACUUUUUGGUGGGCUUGAAUAUUUAUGUCCAUUUUUCUUUCUUUUGCUUUUUGGCGAACACGUUUUCACAAAUUGAAUUCUCAAAACAACUUUCAAAAUUUCAGUUUUUUUAAUCACUUCAAUCUUCAAAUUAAUUUUUCAAAAAUUCUAAUAUCCAAAUUUAAUUUCUAAAAUGUCAUCUUAAAAUAAAUCUUUCAAACAAAUUCUGAUUUCCAAAUUCAAUUCCCAAUUUCUGAAAUUCUAAUUUUUCGACUUUCAAAUUUAAUUUUCAAUUUCCAAAAUUUUAAUAUUCACAUUCAUUUAUUUAAUCAUUACUAUUUUUUGUUAUGAUUAUUAUUAUUCUAUUUACUUAUUUAUCUUAAAAUUCCAUUCUUAAACAUUUUUUCUCAAAAUUUCAAUUUUUGAACUUAAUUUUUAAUUCCCAAAAUUCCAAUUCUUAAAUUUAAUUCCCAAAAUUCCAAUUUUCAAAUUUAAUUCCCAAAACUCCAAUUUUCAAAUAAAUUCCAAAAAUCCAAUUUUCACGUGAACAAUUUUAAUUCUAUUCCGGUUCUCAAUUUUUCUUGGUUUUACAUAAGCAUGAAUGUCAUUUUCAUAAUUUCAGAACAAUGGAAUUUGUGAGAUUAAUUCGUGCAAGAUCAAUCGGGCUUUGGUGGGGGCCCCACAUACGUGAUUUUAUGAUUGAUUGAUUUGUUUGUCACGCACAAUUUAUUUAUCCUGCUCUCCGACAUGCAUGCUAUUAUUUCUUAAUUAUGCACUAACCUCUCUCUUGAUAGCGCAUGGUGGCUCGUCGCCCAGGUACGCACUUACUUUCACUCUGGUAAUUGUCCAAGCAUAUUUUGAUUCUCACGUGUGCAUGAUUUAUUCUGGGUACUCAUUGAUCUACUCGUCCACUGCCCUGAUUGUUUCAUUUUAUUAGUAGAGACCCGUUUUUAGGGACUUAAAAGGGUGCUACGGUUUUUACCGUACCUUCCUGAUAAGUAACCUGACCCCCGAACCCGAUCCGGUUUUUUGUAGAUCACCUUUUCCAAAUAAGGAGUCACACUUAGGGUUUUUCUUUCUUAUUUUGUUUACCCUUUUAAAAAUAAAACAAAAAUAAGUGGCGACUCCAAGUCAUUUUUCCUAAUCAAUAAAAUCAAUUUUUCAAAUAAAAGUCGAGCUCGCCAUCGAAUGGGAAACGCAUUGAGCCGAAAUGCGGGGUCCACAAUACUUUUGGUUUUAAUAGAAAUAAAAUUAUAACUCUGUUAUAAGUGUACAUUUAUUAUUAAAUUACAUCAAAUAUUAUUCAACAAUAAUAUUAUGAUAUUUGAUUAUAAUAUGUUUAAUUUUAAAUAUUUAAUAUUAAAUUUAUGAUUCAUUUAAUUCAAUUGUAUUAAAUAAUAUAAAAUAAAUGAUGAUAUAUAUAUAUAUAAUUUUUUAAUAUUUAAUUAAUAUAUUAAUGAUAAUUUUUAUAUUUUUGGUAAUCAAUCAAAUGAAAAAUUUUCAUUUAAUUAUAAUUAAUUUGUUCUUUAAAAUAUUCCUUUAAUGUUUUGUUUAUAUGAUAACUUUAUAUAUAUAUAUAUACUUGGUGCACUAUGUUUAAAAAAGGGUGAGCUUGGCCCAAUGGCUGGAUAAGGCAUCUUUAUGCGUAAUAUUCAUACCUUUACUUAAUCUCAUAUGUCAUAAUUGAGUCAAAUUCUCACAUUUUCUACUUCUUUUUUUUUUUGGGUCUUUUUAUUAAAAAAUAGUGCAUUAGUUCUCAAGUAUUUAUAGCACAAUCAUUAGUAUCUUUACAAAUAUAUAUUUAAUACAACUCAAUUAUUAAUGCAAAAGAGUUGAGAUUAAACCUAGUGGACCUUGAUUAAGUCAAAUAAGAGUACAUAAUUGCCAUAUUUGAAUCCUUAAGAGGUCGAAUCAAAAGAUUAUACAUUAUUUAAUUUAAUAAUAAUAAUAACUAUAAAAAAAUAUUUUAAGAAUAAAAAAACCAAUAUUGAUAAUUAUUAAAAAAGUAAAUUUUGGUCAAGUUAUAAGUUCAAUGCAUAUGUGUCGUGCUAGAGUUUUAUGACAAACAUAACUCGAGGCACCGACCAUGCCAUAUUUAUUUCUAUAUUAAUACAUUAUUAUCAAUGAAUUAAAAUUUAGGUGUGUUCUUAUUGUCAAUGAUUCUUACAAUAAAGCCGACAAGUCUCAUAUACAAAAAUAAGAGGCGUCUUCUAUGGUUGGGUUGUAUGGGGUAUGGGAGAAAAAGGCAAACCAAUGAGAAAAUUUGAAUAUCUUAUAGUUCUAGUUUCCCAAUGAAAAUUGGCGACCUAACCUUCCUCCCUUCCUCCGUCGAGUCCAGCGACCUCUUCUCUUCCUCCGCCACAAAGUCCUGCCUGAUUUGGCAGAUGGGCAUCGAUAAUCGGUUGUGCGCUGGAAAUCAGCACCAUGGAUCAGCAAAGCUUGGCAGACUGUAAACUCAAAAAUCCUUUACAUAUAUAGCUGAGGCAUGUUUGAUCAACUGGCCCAAGGGUGUCUUAUUUCUCAGGUUCCCUUUACCAAUACAGGUCAAAAUCAAGAAGGAUUAGCCCACCUUGACAUUAUAAUGUUGCAUGGAAAAAGUUUCCCGAGAAACCCAAGAAACUUUGAAAGUUCUAGAAUAACGGGUUGAAGAAUCUUAUAAUUCACCAUAUUUUCUUUUUCUUUUUUGGUAUUUUUAAUUAUAUAAAAAAAGAAUAAUAAAUAUCAUAAAAAUAAAUAUUAAUUAUUAAAUUAAGAAAAUCAAAUAUUAUUAAUAUUUUAUUUUUAUUAAGGAAACAAAUAUUAUUUUUUUAUUUAUGAUUUAUGAAAAUAUUGAUUCUACCAUCAUCUACACUAAAGUGCUUAACCCACGACAAUCUCCUCAUUGGCGUGCUCAAAGUUCCUGCAAAUGUUUCUUUACCGAAGAAAUGUGAAGGAAAAUAAAAUAAAAUAAAAUAAAAUCACAUAAAAAAUAUCAUGAAAUCCAUAAUAUACUAUAUUUUAUAAAUAUAAAAAUAAAAUAUGGUUCUUAUAUAUUUCCAAGUCUAUUUCAAUCAAAGUGUUAUUUUAAACAAAAGUUCAAAGGACUAGCAUUGAAAGACAAAAUAUGAAAAACAACCAUCGCUUCUAUUAUGCCUACUUUUAAUAGAAAAAAUGUAAAUGUUUAUGACUUAUUAGGCUCCAAGCCAAUAAUUCAUUAGUCAAGAUCUCAUUUCGAUACAUCAUUUAAGUGUAAUCUCUUACUAAAUAAUUUGUGAGGGUCAUUUAAUUCAACUUUUGUUGAAGCAAGAUAGAAGCCGAUAUUGAAUAUGCUAUGAGACAUAAGGGAUAAGAACAACGAAUGCAAGGAGGACUUGUAAGAAUAAGUGGGAGAUGUUGUUGUGCCCUAAUAUUUAUAAGAUUUUGGAGAAUGAUAAGAUUAAGGCAAAUAGUUGAAUACCUAUUUGGGUUUGUGAUUUAAAGUUUGAAAUCAAUUGCAUAUGUAGUGAUAGAUAUGUUAUUGAUAUUGUCAAUCAAACAUGCAAAUGCAUAAAUGAGACUUAACCGGUAUCCCUUGUUCAUAUGCAAUUUUAACUAUAUUUGUAGAAGAGAAAUAAUAAGUUUUAAGUUAUCUUUAAAAAUUACUAGACUCGUUAAUGAAUCAAACACAUUAACUCUUACUUAAUGUUUAUUUGUUUACUUAAAAAAAUUGUAAAAGUAUGAUAUAUAUAUAUAUAAAAUAAAUUAACCUAGCCAUUUAAAAUAAAUUUUGAUUUAAGACUUUUUCGUGUUUUUGAGUUUUAUGACUUUUUAGUUUAAUUAAAUCAAUUUUUGAGUUUAAAUAUUUUUUAAAAAAUAAUAAAUUUAUUUGUUUAAUAAAAAAUAUUAAAGAAGUUAAAGGAAAUUCAGAAAAGCAAAUCAUAUUUGAAAAUUUUCAAUACUUGUACAGUGCGGAGAGAAAGUGAGAGAACAGUAUAUUCUGUUCAAUUUUAUGAAAAAUAAAACACCAGUCCAACACCUAAACCUCCAUUAGAAACUCCUUAUCCUUCUCCAACCUUUCCAUUGUACCAGCCUCCAACGUUAUCUCAACGUCAAUGCUUCCUCCCCCGGUCUUCCCCUGAUACAAAUACACCAUUCCGUCAAAUUUGUUGUUCGAUCCACUUCUCACCCUCUCCGGCUUCCCAAACCCAAAGUCCACGUCGUACACCUUGAACCUCGGCGAGCUUCCCACCGUAACGCAGUUCACUCCGGCGUCUUUGAACUGGAAUAUUAUUGGGUUGCUCUCCCACUUAUCGUUGCGUUCGUUGAUGGCUUUCGCGUCGUUCGUUACGAUCGCUUUUUGAAUCAUUGCCGCCGCGAACUCCGGCGGGUUUGCGUAGAGGAGUCCGGCUGCGGUGACGGUGAAGAUGGCUUGAAUCAGGUUGCCGAAGUAGGACUCCGGCAUGGGAGGGUCGACCCUCUUGCGGCAGUUGGCGAAGACGGUGUAGACGGUGACGUCCUCGGGUUUGAGUUGGCGAGCGCGUGUCACCGCGAGCCACACGUGCGUGGAGAGCGAUUGGAAGGAGGAGAAGGGUCUGGAGCCGUCAGAUGGGGUUUUGUUGAGCGUUGACUUGACCCGGUUGAUUUGAGAUUCCGAGAAUCGGAAGAUGCGCUCGCGGAGAAGCGGCGGCGGCUCCGACGUGCCGCUUGGAUUGGCGGCUGUGGGGUCGAGGGGGAGGUCGAACUUCACGCGCGUUUUGCGCGCUUUGGUGCGGUCGAGGAACGGUGGGACGGAGAUGGAGUCGGCUCCACUGCAGAUUUCGGCCCACGAGCUCAUGAAGUGCCACGUGGAGGUACCGUCGAGGACAGCGUGGUUGAACGCGCAUCCCAUUGCGAGGCCAUCUCUUAGCUUGGUGAACUGCGGAUCAUGACAGAAAAACAGUUGAAGCAGUUGAAUAACCUGGGACAACAAACUUUGUUCUAGUCCAUCUUUUCAACUAUUGGGAAAUCAUUCCUUUUGUACCAAAGUCAUAUGACCACUUUUAAUAGAAAAUAAAUAAAUAAAUAAAUUGUUACCUGUAGGACGAGGAGGGGUUUAUGAAGACCCUCAAAGUUCAAGACUUGGGUGUGUGGCAGCAUAUCUUUCAUCAUGCUUGUGCUCUCCACAUCCAUUAGAUCAGAGACACUGACAUGAUCAGCACUUGCUUCCAACACUUCUACACCCUCCAUUUCAUCAUCAUACACGACCUUAAAGACCCCAUCUUCAUCCUUCUCUAGCUUCCCAGCCAACUGAUAAAACUCUUCCAAAACUACCCCUAACCCAUCCUUCAAUUUACCCACCAUGUCCUCAAAGUCACACCCCUUGUAGAAUAACAGUUUUUGGUUAUAGUAAAAGGCCAAAUAUGGGAGAUCAAAUGUGACCAAUUGACACUCUCUUCUUCCUAGCUUCUUAGUGGGCAUGAUGUGGGAUUUUCCAUGGACAGCCACCUUCACAACCUCAGCUUCCUCCUUCUUCACAACUUGAUCUACGCAUGGAGUGGCGUAGGCGGACUCAGGCGCACGGUAGCGCGGAUCUCUCACGGAGACCUUAACUUCCACCUUUCCCUGAGGGUGGCCGGAGGGGCGGUGGAGCUCGAGAGUGCGGAUGGCCUGGGCUCCGAAGCCGACUUCGUCGACCACGUGGGGGAG
rnacentral:lncRNA from 1 species